rnacentral:sRNA from 1 species
CGGCCGGUCUCUAAGCUUCUCUAUU